UGAUUUUGACUGUCUCUAUUUCACAGCGCCGCCACCUCUCUCAAAACCCUAUUUCCCAUUCAUCUCCGUUCUUCCAUCGCCUUCACACGGAAAACGCUCUGCUCGCUCUAUUCAUCUCUGUUCUUCCAUCGCCUUCGACCGGAAGACGCUCUGCUGGAGUAGGCCGGAGCAGAUCGACAUAAAUCUGAGUGAUAAUUUUCUUGUGGAGUGAGAUGUUCCAGCUUGUCCGAAGAAAUGAGGAUAAGUCGAGCAUUAUUUGGCUUACUCAUGGAACUUCAGGAAGAAGGAAAAAAAAAACAGAUCUUUUAGCGUUUGGCAUGGGAGGAAUUGGAAAGAUUUAGCAUAAUGGGUCAUAAAAAGGAGGGGGAAAAAAUCUACAGUUGAAGAGCUACAAGGAUUAAAUGAAGAUAUUCUGCAUGGAGUUAUUGAUGCAGAGCUACAUGGACUUACUAAUGAAGAAGGUCUUGUAGAUGUGCAAAAAAACAAGAGAGGACCUACAUUGAUGGGUACACUAAUUACAACUGCAAGAUAGAGCAAAAAAGCAAAGAUUGAUUAUGAUAACAUGGGAAGGUCAGCAUACAAUGCAAAUGGAAGGGCUUUACAAUCAUACAUUGACUCUAUUACUAGAUCCAUGGUGCCAAUUAAUAUAUAGUCCUGGCCUGUUGUUCCAGAAAACAUAAAACAAAAAGUUUGGGGAGAGAUCUCUACAAUACUCGAUGGGUCGUAAAAAAUAAGUAGUAGCAGUUGAGGAGAUACAUGGUGUAGUUGAUACAGAGGUACAUGAAGUUAUUGAUAGAGAAGAACGUUCUGUAAAUGUGCAGAAGAACAAACGAGGUCCUACAUCAAUGUGUAAAUUUACUACAGCUGCAAGAUGGGGGAAAAAAGCGAAGAUUGAUUAUGAUGACAUGGGCCGACCAUUAUACAAUGCAAAUGGAAAGACAUUGCAAUCGUACAUUGGCUCUGUUGCUAGAACCAUGGUGCCAAUCAACAUGAAGUCUUGGCCUACUGUCUCAGAAAAUAUAAAACAAAAAUUGUGGGAACAGAUUUCGAAUGUGUUCGAAUUAUCACCACAAAGUGAGACUGCUGUGAUGAAUUCAACAUCUCAAAAGUGGCGAGAUUUUAAAAAUAAACUUACUAGCAGAUUUGUUAGGCCAAAUAAAGACAAUCCUGAAAAAUUGAGUUCUCCACCUAGUCAAUAUCAGAUCCCAAAAGUAAUUUGGAAAGUAUUUGUAGAUGAGAGACUUCAUCCAUCAUGGGAGGUUAUUCAUGAAAAGCAAACAGAACGAAUGGUGCAUUAUAAAUAUCAUUACAGAUUGUCUCACAAAUGUUACAUCAACUUAGAGACUGAAUUGAGGGAGAAAAAAAUAAUUACUGAAAAUGAGGAAGUUGAUAGAUCGAUGUUUGGCGUAAAGCCCGUGAGGAUAAAUUUGGCAACAUAACAAAUAUGGAGAUAGCAGAAGUCAUUGCAAAAAUUGAUGAUUUAAUGGAAAAGAAAAUCAUAGGAGAGUUCAAAUCUUCUGGGAUGAAUGAUGUGUUAACCAUUGUUUUAGGAAAUCAAGAACACUCUGGACGGGUUAGAGGUGUGGGAGGAUGUGUAAAAUCCCAACUCUACUUUAAAACUGCAAGAAAGAGUAAUCAGUCCUAAAGGAUUUGAUUGAUAAUUUUAAAGAACAAUCGGAGAAGAAUAUGAGCUUGAAGGCUGAAGUAGAGAAAUUGAAGGCUCAACUUGCUCAGGUCAUUGAUAAUCAAACUUGUGAGGUUGUUAUAUCGAACAAGUCCUCAAACAUGAACGAUCCAAAAUGGAGAGAUGAUGUGGAGAUUUAUUAAUGUGGCGCUUCAAGCUUGGAGGGAAAAAAAAUGUAACCUGGUUGUGAAGCAACGUGAAAAUGUGGUGACCUACGACACAGUACUAUCAGAAGGAGGCCUAAAUAUAUCAAUUUAUCAUGUUCCACUUAGGGAAGAGAAUUUCAAGGUAUCUAUUGAUGUUGUGUUAGAUGAAGGAGCAAAGCUUCCAAUUUCAAUUCCGUCUGGACCAACAAUCAUCAAUGAUGUUAUUGGAACAAUUGUUGCUUGGCCUAAAGAGUUGGUAAUUUUAUCAAGAAAGAAGAAGAAUGUGCAACAUCAAUCAUUUGCUUUUUCGGAUAUUCAUGAUCAUCAGGAUAAGUACAAGGAAAUUGAAAAAACGUUGCCGAUGACAUGCAAAUAUAUUUACUCGUAUGUUAUCAGAUUGAUACCUGAAGAUGAGAGCAUACAUAUAGAAUUUGAUGAAAUUAUGUUUGAAUGUCCUAAAAGUGUAUGGUUGCUGAGAGAAGAUAUCUUACGCUUUAUGAAGAUGAGAGAGAUGGGUGUCAGACAAAUAUUGAUUUACAUGGGGUAUGUUAUGCGUUAAAUACAAUAUUUGUUCAUAUGUUUUGCUUUGGUCCCAAUAUUUGUUCACAUGCUUUGUUUUGGUUUACAUGGGGUAUAUUGCCUUGUAAUUACCUUUACAAAUACUUGAAGAAAGAAAAAAGAGCUGAGUAUGUGUCAUUUGUGGAUCCUGGUCACAUACCUACAUGCGGUGUGGGUGAAGAAGGCAGUAAAUUGUCACAAGAUAUUGCUGCUCAGUUGGGAGCAUCUAACAGAGAUAGCAUAUGCCUCAUCCCGUAUAACACUGGUGGGGUCAAGAUAUACAAUGCAUCAAAGGAUAUUUCAAAAGGAGCAGGUUUUAAAAAAUUAACAGAUAAUCUUAAACAAAAUGGUGGUGUUGAUUGUGGAUAUUGUGUGAUGCGGUACAUGCAAGAGAUAGUCUUGGAUGAAGAUCCAUAAUUGGAGAGGAAGUUUGCAGCAUCAAAAACAAACAGUAUUACAAUCAAUCUCAGUAUGAUGAAGUCAGAAGUGAUUGGAGCGAAUUCGUCUAUUUCUAUAUGGGUGCCUAAGUGUAGGCUAUGAUAUAAAUUUUAUAUUGUAUUUAGAGAUUUAUGGAUAGAAAAGUUUUUGUGUUAUGGUUAAACAUGUCUUUUAUGAAUACAUUUUUGGAUUGUAUAUGAUAUAUGUUUGUGAUAUAUUGGUUCAAUUUUGAGGUGAAAAA